UGGGUAAAGUAGCUUACGCAGCAGCCAGUUAGCAACCGAAUUCAGAUGGAACAGGUCCUCUCCAUCAGCCUGCCUUCUGCUCCUCCUGUCUUCCUCACGGCUCAGUCACUUUUGUCACACAUAAAUAAAAAAAGAGAAAAGUGGAAAGUUCCCUAUAGCACUUGUAUGCACAGUUAAUAGAGUUGUAAGAGAAAAGCUGCCGUGGGAGGGGAGAUUCCAUGGUCAAUUAAAAUUGAGGAAUGCUAACUUAUUUCCUUUCCCUGGGCUGUCUGAGUUUCUAUUAUGCCAUGACACAUUUUGAUCUUAGGAGGGGACAGACUGUUGCACUUGAUAUUGUUCUCCUGUCCUCGCCCCCAUUUCUCUGAGCAUCUCAACCAGUUUUUGGUCAAGUUUACAGGUCUUCUAGAAGACGAUUUCCAGUGAAAAUACUGGCAGUGAGUUUGUUAUGGUGCUGCGAUGGCAUUGGUAACAAGCCCCAGCGGUGCAAUGAGCUACCAGAAAGACUUAGCUGCCCAGAGCUGUCCUUGCAAGGAGUUUCUUUCCCACCUGGGGCACACAAAGUCAGUAUUUGUGUUUGAUUUUGCAAGUUACCCAAGAAUUAAUUAACUAAUGGAAAUGUAUUGGUGAUGUUGAUACUGCAGCUUAGCAAUGCUUCUGUGUGGCACUUUAUAAUCUUCAGGCGCCUUUGAGGACUCCCUGUGAGCCAGGCAGUAUCGCAGUGACUGUAUGGUCAGAGUCCUAGGAGCCCUGAAAAACUGGUUGCUGAUUCUGUCUCUUCCCCCUCCUGCCCUCCUCUCUCCGAAGUUUACAUCCUAAAAGGAUAGAGCCAGAACUUGGUUACAGAGUCUCUGACUCCAAGUCCAAAGUUCUUUAUACUGGUCUUUCCUUCUAGCUUUAUGUAUACAACAAAAGGUAUGGAAACAGAUCUUCACACUGUUUUUGCUUAUUGUGAAAACCAAUUCUUUUGUAUUGGAGUGACCCAGAAGUGUAACUCUUACUACAUUUUGUCCCUGUAGUGCCACUUGUUCAGGGACUUGGAUUGUACUCCAGAUACUGUUUGAUUGUGAAACUAAGAUUGAACAUACCGCUGUAAUUAUUUAACUCUGAAAAUAUAUCGCCUCUGCAUUCUCAGGUGAAGGAGAUGGUUUGAAAGGAAAAAUAGUGUUCAGAUGAAACAAUAAAUAUUCUUUAUUAC
rnacentral:lncRNA from 1 species